rnacentral:rRNA from 1 species
ACGCUCGACACCUACGGGAGGCAGCAGUGGGGAAUAUUGCACAAUGGGGGAAACCCUGAUGCAGCGACGCCGCGUGAAGGAAGAAGUAUCUCGGUAUGUAAACUUCUAUCAGCAGGGAAGAAAUGACGGUAUCUGACUAAGAAGCCCCGGCUAACUACGUGCCAGCAGCCACGGUAAUCUGAGCGGCUGGCAAGGC